AAUACAACCCAAAACUCAACCCUUCAUUGUGAAAUGCAAGUACAAAGACAUGAGGAGAGGAAAGCCCCCACCGGUCAGAGCAGCCUGGGAUAGGUCGCUUUGAGAGGAUGUCAAUCGGCUCAUCGAGAUGCUGGAGAGACUCAUCUCUACUUAAUAGGCUUGGGAAAAUAGGAGGGAGUUGUCUGACCCUCCACCCAUGCCACAAUAUGAGCCACCCCUACAACAGAAAGAUCUAGAGGAAGAUACCCUUGCCUUGUAGCAU
rnacentral:lncRNA from 1 species